rnacentral:rRNA from 1 species
UACAGAGGUCUCAAGCGUUGUUCGGAUUCAUUGGGCGUAAAGGGUGCGUAGGUGGCGGGGUAAGUCAGGUGUGAAAUCUCGGAGCUCAACUCCGAAACUGCACUUGAUACUGCCUUGCUCGAGUACUGGAGAGGAGAUUGGAAUUUACGGUGUAGCAGUGAAAUGCGUAGAUAUCGUAAGGAAGACCAGUGGCGAAGGCGAGUCUCUGGACAUUUCCUGACGCUGAGGCACGAAAGCCAGGGGAGCAAACGGG